rnacentral:lncRNA from 1 species
CAGACCGCCGAACGGAUAGAGUUUUUCAUGUACGUCCUAGGCGUCGCAAUCAAUACAAUACAAAGGUUCCAACCAGAAAUAGUACUCAACAUACAGAUUGCAUAAGGAAGUAUCAAAACAUAAACAACUAGCUAUUACAAGCAUUCACAUACAUGCUUAUAUUUUUACAUCACAGUUUUUUUUAAAUUCAACUUCCAAAUUACAAUUUAGUUAUUACAAAUUUAUUACAAGUUUGAUACAUUCUUAUUCUUUCCUUUUUCUAUACCCCUAGA